GACAGAGGGGGCAAGCGUUGCUCGGAAUCACUGGGCGUAAAGGGCGCGUGAGGCGGGAGUGGCAAGUCGGUCGUGAAAUCCUUCGGCUCAACCGAAGAACGUCGGCCGAUACUGCCGUUCUUGAGGGAUGCAGAGGAGAUUGGAAUUCCCGGUGUAGCGGUGAAAUGUGUAGAGAUCGGGAGGAACGACCGGUGGCGAAGGCGGGUCUCUGGGCAAUUCCUGACGCUGAGGCGCGAAAGCGUGGGGAGCAAACGGG
rnacentral:rRNA from 1 species